GAUGAAGAACGCAGCGAAAUGCGAUAAGUAGUGUGAAUUGCAGAAUUCAGUGAAUCAUCGAAUCUUUGAACGCACAUUGCGCCCGCCAGUAUUCUGGCGGGCAUGCCUGUUCGAGCGUCAUUUCAACCCUCAAGCCCAGCUUGGUGUUGGGGAUCGGCACAGGCGCCCUCGGGCGCCCGCCGUCCCCUAAAUCUAGUGGCGGUCCCGCUGCAGCCUCCUCUGCGUAGUAGUUUUCUCCUCGCAAGGGCAGCUCGGUGGCGACCUCGCCGUAAAACCCCCAACUUCUGAAAGGUUGACCUCGAAUCAGGUAGGAAUACCCGCUGAACUUAAGCAUAUCAAUAAGCGGAGGA
rnacentral:misc_RNA from 1 species